rnacentral:rRNA from 1 species
CCAAUAGCGUAUAUUAAAGUUGUUGCAGUUAAAAAGCUCGUAGUUGAAUUUCGGGAUCAAAUUGUCGGUCGUGCCUCGGUACGUACUGGUAUUAUUGGUUCCUCCCUUCUGACGAACCACGAUGUCAUUAAUUUGGUGUCAUGGGAAAUCAGGACUGUUACUUUGAAAAAAUUAGAGUGUUUAAAGCAGGCUCGCGCUUGAAUACAUUAGCAUGGAAUAAUGAAAUAGGACGUUUGAUUCUAUUUUGUUGGUUUCUAGGAUCGACGUAAUGAUUAAUAUGGAUAGUUGGGGGCAUUAGUAUUCAAUUGUCAGAGGUGAAAUUCUUGGAUUUAUUGAAGACUAACUACUGCGAAAGAAUUUGCCAAGGAUGUUUUCAUUAAUCAAGCACGAAAGUUAGGGGAUCGAAGACGAUCAGAUACCGUCGUAGUCUUAACCAUAAACUAUGCCGACUAGGGAUCGGAUGAUGUUAAUUUUUUAAUGACUCAUUCGGCGCCUUACG